GAGAGUUUGAUCCUGGCUCAGGACGAACGCUGGCGGCGUGCUUAACACAUGCAAGUCGAACGGAAAGGCCCCUUCGGGGGUACUCGAGUGGCGAACGGGUGAGUAACACGUGGGUGAUCUGCCCUGCACUUUGGGAUAAGCCUGGGAAACUGGGUCUAAUACCGAAUAGGACCACGCGCUUCAUGGUGUGUGGUGGAAAGCUUUUGCGGUGUGGGAUGGGCCCGCGGCCUAUCAGCUUGUUGGUGGGGUAAUGGCCUACCAAGGCGACGACGGGUAGCCGGCCUGAGAGGGUGUCCGGCCACACUGGGACUGAGAUACGGCCCAGACUCCUACGGGAGGCAGCAGUGGGGAAUAUUGCACAAUGGGCGCAAGCCUGAUGCAGCGACGCCGCGUGGGGGAUGACGGCCUUCGGGUUGUAAACCUCUUUCAGUAUCGGCGAAGCUCCAGGAUUUUUCUUGGGGUGACGGUAGGUACAGAAGAAGCACCGGCCAACUACGUGCCA
rnacentral:rRNA from 1 species